GGCCGGUUGGCCCAAUGGCAAGGCGUCUGACUACGACUACUUCUCCAUCCUGGAACUAAGGCUGGAGGCUAUGUAUGCUCUGCAAUCAGGAGAUUCUGGGUUCGACCCCCAGGCUGGUCA